rnacentral:piRNA from 1 species
UCUUCUUGUAGAUGGACAUAGUUCUCUUUU